rnacentral:rRNA from 1 species
AUGGAUCCAGUAUACAUGCAAACAGGCCUGCUGACCUUGAAAAGUGAUGUGUACAGUUUUGGAAUUGUGAUCUUGGAGCUCAUUAGCAGGAAAAAGGCCACUAAUUCUGAUAAUCACAGUCUAGUGAGGGACUUCCUUGAAGUUUACAAACAAGGGAAGAAAGCUACCGAGCUGUUUGACAAGGAAAUUCUUGACUGUCUAGCUGAGGUUGCUAUGGAAUGUAUUGAUCUUGAUGUGGAUAAAAGGCCCACGAUGACGGAUGUUGCAGAGCGCCUUCUCAUACUGAAUCGAUCUUGUAGGUCAAAAGUUAUUUGCCAAUAA